rnacentral:snRNA from 10 species
GUACUUGCUUUGGCAGCACGUAUACUAAAAUUGGAAAGAGCAGAUCAGCAUGGCCCCUGCACAAGGGUGACAUGCAAAUUCAUGAAGCAUUCCAUAUUUUU